GUGGGGAAUAUUGGACAAUGGGCGAAAGCCUGAUCCAGCCAUGCCGCGUGUGUGAAGAAGGUCUUCGGAUUGUAACGCACUUUAAGUUGGGAGGAAGGGCAGUAAGUUAAUACCUUGCUGUUUUGACGUUACCGACAGAAUAAGCACCGGCUAACUUCGUGCCAGCAGCCGCGGUAAUACGAAGGGUGCAAGCGUUAAUCGGAAUUACUGGGCGUAAAGCGCGCGUAGGUGGUUCAGCAAGUUGGAGGUGAAAUCCCCGGGCUCAACCUGGGAACUGCCUCCAAAACUACUGAGCUAGAGUACGGUAGAGGGUAGUGGAAUUUCCUGUGUAGCGGUGAAAUGCGUAGAUAUAGGAAGGAACACCAGUGGCGAAGGCGACUACCUGGACUGAUACUGACACUGAGGUGCGAAAGCGUGGGGAGCAAACAGGAUUAGAUACCCGAGUAGUCC
rnacentral:rRNA from 1 species